rnacentral:rRNA from 1 species
AGUGGCGGACGGGUGAGUAACGCGUAAGAAUCUAACUUCAGGACGGGGACAACAGUUGGAAACGACUGCUAAUACCCGAUGUGCCGCAAGGUGAAACCUAAUUGGCCUGGAGAAGAGCUUGCGUCUGAUCAGCUAGUUGGUGGGGUAAAGGCCUACCAAGGCGACGAUCAGUAGCUGGUCUGAGAGGAUGAGCAGCCACACUGGGACUGAGACACGGCCCAGACUCCUACGGGAGGCAGCAGUGGGGAAUUUUCCGCAAUGGGCGAAAGCCUGACGGAGCAACGCCGCGUGAGGGAGGAAGGUCUUUGGAUUGUAAACCUCUUUUCUCAAGGAAGAAGUUCUGACGGUACUUGAGGAAUCAGCCUCGGCUAACUCCGUGCCAGCAGCCGCGGUAAUACGGGGGAGGCAAGCGUUAUCCGGAAUUAUUGGGCGUAAAGCGUCCGCAGGUGGUCAGCCAAGUCUGCCGUCAAAUCAGGUUGCUUAACGACCUAAAGGCGGUGGGAACUGGCAGACUAGAGAGCAGUAGGGGUAGCAGGAAUUCCCAGUGUAGCGGUGAAAUGCGUAGAGAUUGGGAAGAACAUCGGUGGCGAAAGCGUGCUACUGGGCUGUAUCUGACACUCAGGGACGAAAGCUAGGGGAGCGAAAGGGAUUAGAUACCCCUGUAGUCCUAGCCGUAAACGAUGGAUACUAGGCGUGGCUU